CAUUUCUUCAGUUUUCGGUGCAGAUGGAUAAUAUGGUGAACAUGGGAUGAUCACUGGUUGACAGGAAACAAGAAUAUAUGGACAUGGGGCGUAAAUGGGAGGAUAAUUUACGCAGAAAAUGGGACACUUCGUAAGCGAUGUUGCAAACUAACGUCAAUGAAAACGUUGAAACAUUUUACAUUGUAGAAAUGAAACUAUGAUCAAGUGAGAUAAUUUUGGAUGAUCAAAGGAGCGAUAAGAAAGUUGAGAGAUGGAAAAACGUUCAAAAUCUUCAUACAGGACAGAUUUGAAGCAUAUUCUCCAAAUAAUUCUUUAUCAAUCUUUUGCUGAGCUAAAUUAGUAAUGAAAACCCGA